CCUACGGGGGGCAGCAGUGGGGAAUAUUGCACAAUGGGGGAAACCCUGAUGCAGCGACGCCGCGUGAGUGAAGAAGUCUUUCUGUACGUAAAGCUCUAUCAGCAGGGAAGAAAAUUACGGUACCUGACUAAUACUCCCCGGCUAACGACGUACCAGCCGCCGCGGUAAUACGGAGGGGGCAAGCGUUAUCCGGAUUUACUGGGUGUAAGGGGAGCGUAGACGGCAGCGCAAGUCUGGAGUGAAAUCCCAUGGCUUAACCAUGGAACUGCUUUGGAAACUGUGCAGCUGGAGUGCAGGAGAGGUAAGCGGAAUUCCUAGUGUAGCGGUGAAAUGCGUAGAUAUUAGGAGGAACACCAGUGGCGAAGGCGGCUUACUGGACUGUAACUGACGUUGAGGCUCGAAAGCGUGGGGAGCAAACAGGAUUAGAUACCCGGGUAGUC
rnacentral:rRNA from 1 species